rnacentral:piRNA from 1 species
UAUUUGCUCGAAUGUUUCCUA